AUUGAACGCUGGCGGCAGGCCUAACACAUGCAAGUCGAGCGCGCGGCGGACGGGUGAGUAAUGUCUGGGAAACUGCCUGAUGGAGGGGGAUAACUACUGGAAACGGUAGCUAAUACCGCAUACCAUCAGAUGUACCCAGAUGGGAUUAGCUAGUAGGUGGGGUAACGGCUCACCUAGGAGACGAUCCCUAGCUGGUAUGAGCGGAUGAACAGCCAAACUGGAACUGAGACACGGUCCAGCCUCCUACGGGAGGCAGCAGUGGGGAAUAUUGCACAAUGGGCGCAAGCCUGAUGCAGCCAUGCCGCGUGUAUGAAGAAGGCCUUCGGGUUGUAAAGUACUUUCAGCGGGGAGGCGUUACCCGCAGAAGAAGCACCGGCUAACUCCGUGCCAGCAGCCGCGGUAAUUC
rnacentral:rRNA from 1 species